rnacentral:rRNA from 1 species
GGGUCAGUAGGCUGGUCGUGCCACUGGUAUGUACUGGUCUCACUGAUUCCUCCUUCCUGAUGAACCGUAAUGCCAUUAAUUUGGUGUUGCGGGGAAACUGGACUGUUACUUUGAAAAAUUAGAGUGUUUAAAGCAGGCUAACGCUUGAAUACAUUAGCAUGGAAUAAUGAAAUAGGACGUUCGAUCCUAUUUUGUUGGUUUCUAGGAUUGACGUAAUGAUUAAUAGGGAUAGUUGGGCUGA